AGAGGAGCAGUGAGCAGAGGGCAGGGAAGCGGCCCAGUGGGUGGCCCUUUGUCUAGGAUGAGCGAGUGGGCGGGACACCAGCCACCGAGGCGCCUCUGUAAUUCUGUAGCUCUCCCUGCAGAGCUAAUGCGUAUUCGAAUGGCCCAAAUAAACCAGGCAUUUCCUCUACCGUGGGCGCUCGGGGAGCGUCACUCCAUUACUGAGCAGGAGACCCAGAAUCUUUGCUGACGUCCAGCGACGCCAGAUUUGCCGUGACACCCCUGUUCUCUGUCGUUUGCUGAGCCACGUAAAUCACUGAACGGGAAGGGGGGACAUAAGACCUGCAAAGGGCCUAGAGCACCUGAAGCGCGUCGCAUACGAUCGUUACCGCAAGGCCAUCAUGCUAGGAGUAGCUCCCCUUUGUCCUGCAGGAUGGCUCCUUUCGGAAUAGUUUUGGCCUCCCCCAAAUGUCGCAAACAAAUCUCGUUACAGAUACGGCUGACUUGGAUCCCUUGGGUCGGGGGCCAUCCGCCAGAGUCCUUCACCGGAGCCUUGCUGUUUUCCCGUCUGUGACCGAUGGCACCUGUGAGGAGAUUUACCGACGGUGUGACUAUCAUUUCGCCUUGAGUUUACCAUCAAUGAUGAUUGCGGCCCACGCCCAUUACGACCCACGCUGCCUACCGGAAACUUCCAUCAGCCACUCAAUACUUCUGACAGGGGCGCCCGGGCGGCCCAGUCGGUUAGGCGUCCCACUUCGGCUCAGGUCACGAUCUCGCGGUCCGUGAGUUCGAGCCCCUCCUCGGGCCCUGGGCUGA